rnacentral:hammerhead_ribozyme from 1 species
AUCUAGCUGACGAGUCCUAAAUAGGACGAAACGCCCUUUGUCCUGUAU